GUGCAGUUUCUCAGAGUGCAGCACACUGAGCUCAGCGUAGGUCGCCUUGAUGUUGUCCAUGUUCUUCACAGCUUUGUCCAGACCGUGGA